UACGAAGGGGGCUAGCGUUGUUCGGAAUUACUGGGCGUAAAGCGCGUGUAGGCGGCUAAGUAAGUCGGGGCGUGAAAUCCCACGGCUCAACCGUGGAAGUGCACUCGAAACUGCAUAGCUAGAGUCCUGGAGAGGAAGGUAGAAUGCUUGGUGUAGAGGUGAAAUUCGUAGAUAUUCGGAGGAACACCAGUGGCGAAGGCGGCUCACUGGUCCAUUACUGACGCUGAGGUGCGAAAGCGUGGGGAGCAAACAGG
rnacentral:rRNA from 1 species